CGAGGACCAAAAGUGCAUUGACCCCUUGGUGUACAAUUCUGACCAAACCCUGGCAUUCUCCCUUUGCCAUUGUAAGUGACGCGGUAGAUUUCCUCUUCCGUGUCAACUCCAUUUCUUUGUAGAUCCUUCAAGAAGAGUGUCGCACCAGGCUGGAUUAUAUUUCCACCUUCAUAAUGACAUCCAAUGCAAGCUCGAUUAAACAAAGAAGCUCCCUUUUGUACAUCUGUUGUUUGUCCAAUUGAG
rnacentral:misc_RNA from 1 species